AUGGGACCUCAAGCUCAGGACAGGUCCCAAUCCCCCACCAGAAGCUGUGCUCUGCUAGGGUCUGAAUGCCAUGGUGAUCACCUAACACUAGGACUGAUGCUCUUUGCCAGUGUGCUGGGGACUUGCCUUGAAGCUGCCAAAAUCACUGUGGGCUUCCAUGCCCCCUGGAACAUCGCCCAUCCCUGCAGUGUGCAGAGGCUGGGGGCAGGCCAUGGACAAGGUUAGCUCAGAGCCAGUGGGCCUGGGAAACUUCAGCUGGGAGUUCACUUACACCAACUCCACCUGCAGUGCCAAGGAGUCCCUUGCUCUUUUUAUUAACCAGGUCCAGGGAGGACACAUUUCUGCCCUGUUUGGACCAGCAUGCCCUGGAGCAGCAAAGGGUGCUGGUUUGCUGGCUUCUGAGUGGAAGAUCCCUGUUUGACUUUGUUGGAUCAAUGGCUAAGUUGAAGAGCCAUUUUUUGUAUGAUACUUGCAUUGACACUUGUGCUAUCGAAGCUGGAAAAAGGUGACAUGCUUCAGAAAAGGUCUACCUUUCUGAAGGUUUCCAACCUAGGUCUCUCGUACCUAGGUUGGAAACACAUUGGGUUGUUUGGAUGCCACUCUGGGCCUCCUCCUGGGAUAGUGGGAAUGAGCCAUGGAGGGUUGUGGAGAUGAACUAAAAUCCCAUUUCACCAUCACUGCCAACAUGAGACCCACCAGCAGUAACCGAGUCCUCCUUCAGGAGGAUCUCAGAAGCAUGUCACCAGUCGCCAGAGUUAUCAUCUUUAUCUGCAACCCAGAGGAUGCAAAAAUUAUUCUGCGGGCUGCAGAGAACCUGGGACUCAGCACUGGAGAAUUUGCCUUUAUUAUUUUGCCACAGUUGGAGGUAGAUGCUGACCCGCACUCAGUGGCUCCGGUAAUGAGAAUGGAGUCCUUGCUGGAGAGCAUGAGAGGAAAUGUUUGGAAAGAUGUAUUGUCAAACCAGAAAGUGAACUGCCUCCCAGAGGCCUAUGAAUGAGUAUUUCUCAUCACGCUCAGCUCCCAUGGAGAGCGUGGCUUCUGGGAGCAGGCCUACCAGAAGCUGAGGAGGGUGCCCUUCCACAGCUCCAUCUCCUUGGAGGAGCAGAUGAGCCCUUACUCUGCCUAGCUGCAUGAUGCUGUCCUGCUGUACGCACAGAUGAUAAAGAGAUAGUCCAGGUCAGGAGAGAAUUUCAGGAUGGGUGGCAGCUGGUCAGCACCCCAAGAGCCCAUUACACUGCACUUCAGGGGGAGCAGCCAUGUGCUGGGGGUUUCUGGACUCAGGAAUCACAGGGCCCUGUGUUUGUGAACUCCCAGGGAAAAAGGUACAUGGAUCACUCAGUCUACGUCCUAUAGGAAUUUGGAAAUGAGUUCCUUUUUCUUCCUUUGCUUUAUUACGAUUGCUCUCAGAAAGUAAUCAGACCAUUAAGAAAUUUCUCCAACAUUACUUAGUCUUAUGGCUCCCUCCCUGAAGUCAGACCCAGCUGUGGGUUUUACAAGGAGCUCUGCAAAACAAAGCAUACUUUAACAGGUCCAACCGUUGUGAGUGUCACGGUGAUUCUCCUGAGUACUGUCCUGGGAUCUGCCACCCUCGGUCUGGUUUUAAGGAUGCAGAGGGGAAAACUGAGGAGGCAAAAUAAAGACAUUGGGUGGCAAAUUAACUAUGUUAACAUCACCAUCCUGCCCCAGAGCAAGCCACCUGGGAGAGGCACACCUGUAUCAAGAGGCAACAGUAGUAAGGCAUCUUGUGGGAUGAGUUCUGCUGACCUCAGCACCUUUGUCAAGAGCCUGGGGGCAGGGAGAAUUGGUGGGAAGCUCUUUUAUGCCCCCAAAAACAUGACCAUCUGCUAUGUUGGUGACCAAGCAGAAGCAUGGGAUAGGAAGCUGACUGUGUGGCAGGAAGUCCAGCUGGUGUGUGAAUUAAGGCAUAAGAACAUCAUCCCCUUCUUUGGUAUUUACAACAUCUGUAUUGUCACCCAGUAUUGCAAAAAAGGAACUGCCUCCGCGUGGAGUGCAUCCAGCAGCCGGAACGUGUCCUCCGCGGGCCGGAUCGGACCGUUGCUGAGCGCGCUGGGCCCCGCGUGCCGGUGCAGCGGUCAGGGGAACCUCGGUGCCGCCAUCUUCGACCUUUCCGUCCUACGCAGAAAAGGAAGUCUUGAGGGCACGCUGUUCCUCCACAGGAGUGCGCUGGGGUCCCACGGCAACCUGGAGCCUUCCAGCUGCCUGGUGACUUGCAUGUGACUACAUGCAAGUGAAGCUGUCAGGAUCUGGGCCUUGUGAGCUGCAGGACAGUUGGACAUACAGGACACACGGCAAGAAAACCACCGAGGCCUUGGCCCGAGCUGCCCAGAGCUGCCCAUCGGGCACCCCAAGGCCAGACGUCUGCAGCUUUGCCAUUCUCCUGAGGGACUUCAUCCACCACCGGGACCACGCGCCCUCGAUGGGGGCAACCUGGAUGAGGCACCCGAUGAAGAUGUUAACAUCUGAACUUUUUAAAAGCCACGUGAGCAUACCAGAUAGUAUGACGAGCAGGCUGGAAGAGUAUACCGACCCUGGAGGAAGGGCUGGAAGAGAGGACCGGCCAGCUAAUGGCAGAGAAGAGGAGGUGGAGGAGCUCCUGUCUACAAUACUGCCCAGGCUCUCUGGAGCAUUGAGGCUCUUCAACGACUUGUACAGUUUGUUUGAUCGCAUCAUUACAACCUACAAUGUGUGCAAGGUUGAAAACAUUGGAGAUGCAUUCAUGGUGGCUAGUGGACUUCCCAAGACACAUGGAUGGGAUUGCCACCAUGUCUCUUCCCUUCCUUAGUGCCAUCCUCCACUGCCAGAGUGGGCACAUGCCCGAGGAGAAGCUCAAGCCCUGGAUUGGCCUCCACACAGAUGAUGUGGUGGCUGGCGUGGGGGGAAUCACCAUGACCAGACACCGUGAACACGGCAUCCAGAAUGGAAAGUAGCAGUUUGCCUCUAUGGAUCCAUGUUGCUCAGAGCACUGAAGAUGCCUUGCUGGCAAUAGGCGGUACAAUCUGCAAAAGAGAAGCACCAUUCCAGUCAAGGGCAAAAGAGAACAAACGACUUUUUCGUUGAAAGGCCAAGAAGGCUUCGCCAGUCUGCUCCCCGGGUUUACUGAGCAAGAGGCUCAAGUUCCAGAGAUCUUGUGAGCACAAAAAACGAGUUUGUCAUCGCUGAGGACGACCUGAGGGCGGAGCUGCAGCUCCAGGCUGACUCCUACAACAGGGCGCAGAUCCCCAGCAUCACGACUAGGUGGCGCAUAACAUCUGUGAACCAGAGCAGGCGGGAGGGCUCUGAGACAGAGGCCUGAGGGCAGGAGCAGCUCAACCGGCUCUAACCCGAGGACGGCCCAGCUCAGGGGUCUUAAACCACACAUAAUCAGGAGGAAGCCUCGGCUUGGCUAGACUCUCAAGUAUGGCUGCUAUGGUGCCCAGUCUCCCAAAGCAUCUUGCUCACCCCAGGUCACACUACGCUCAGUUCAUCAUUAGAUUUUCAACAGAGGUCUUUCACGACCCCUGGACUGAGCUAAAUCCCUUGCUGGAUACUUCCUGGCACCCCUGCCCCUCCACAGGGUCUUGCUCCUUGCUAGAUGGAAAGUUCCUGGUUGGAUCUGUUUAUUUCUAAAACUCCAGUGCUAGAAGCUCAAUACAGGCCCAUUGACUGGCACUUGACAUGCCUAGAACAUUCUCUUUCCUAUUAUUAUUGUUCUCUGCAUGUUCUAGUCAGAAGCUCAGCAUUUUCUGAUUCCUUGGGGCCAUUUUGGAUUUGAGCCAUCGACAGAACUUUUCAAGGUACUCAGCAAACCUCAGCUUCUUGGAUUCCAUCCCUCCCCCCACUGGAAGACUGGAGGAGCAGGUGAGAGCUGUGUCUACAGGCACACCUGGUUUGGCAAUUCAGUCAAAAUGCUCAAACCAGCUGUGCCUGUGGGCACAGCCCAGAGUGUGCCCAGCCAGUAGGAAACACGCUUACUCCGCAGGGAGAGCUCCACCACCAGCACGCCCCCAGUCUGGUCCCGGAGCAGGCGCUUCCGUUUGUCGCAGGUCUGAUGACCCCAGGGGAAGGAUGAGAACAAAGGAAGGGAAGGAAGAGGGAAUUAGAAAAAGAAAGAAAAAAAGAAAGCCACAAACUGGAUGGAGUAAAAAUUCUCCAGUCAACUCAUACCAGUUGGCUUAUAUUUAUUUAUUUGUUUUAAAUAAUUCUGAGAACCCAGGAGGAAAGCAUCAGUAAAUUAAGAAUUCAAGUUGGAAGGAAUCCUGCUUGGUCCUUUCUACCACACGUGGGAGGAAUGGACCACAUCUUUUGAUAAAAAGUGAGUCUUUUACUUAGAGUUAUUCUAAUCACAGUGACUGAGGACACUUGCAAAACAUGUUCUUUUUUAAUGUGGUGUCAAUACUCAGCCUCUGAUCAAUUGUAAAAUGUUUCUGUCAGCCUUUCCCCAGUCGCACACCCUCUGGCUCCUUUCCCUUUCACUAUCUGUGCUCAUGGAUGACCAUCUUCUAUCCAAAUGAGUCAAUGCAACUAGA